CUGUUUCCUGUCUGGUAUCUGCUUCCUGUUCCAUCGGGGGCUCAAGGAACCCUGCACAGGGGACCGUGCAAAGAGUGUAGGAGCCAGAGGGGACAGAGGACACCAAGGAAGCAACACCUUCUAAACACGGCAAGACCCCAAAUGUGUGAACUCACAGAAACCGUGACAAAAGGCACAGGGCCAGCAUAGUCUGCACUAAGCAGUCCUGGAGCUGAAGGGACAAGUGGCUAUAGCCACCAUCCCUAACCCAGCAACGAUCUCCAGCUGAUAACCACUUGCAGAUGAAAAUAUGCCUUUCUCCAAGGGAGUCUCACUGGGGAAACAAACCACUUUUAAGGGUCCUUUACAUAUAUGCUAUGGCUUCCAGUUUUGUGUUAAUGUGUGCCAAUGUGUGUGUGUCUGUGUGUUUCUUGUGUUUUUUCUUGGGCUUUUUCUUCUGUUUGUGUUUGUCCUGUUCUGAUUUGUUAUUGUUAUUUUAUUUUAACCAUUCCUUAGACUCCUGCUUGUUUUCUAAGAAGAGACAAAAAAGAUGUGAAUGGAAGGAGAGGUGAGGAGGGGUUUGGAGGAAUGGGGGGGGNNNNNN
rnacentral:lncRNA from 1 species